AUCUAGCAUAUCAAUAAGCGGAGGAAAAGAAACCAACAGGGAUUGCCCCAGUAACGGCGAGUGAAGCGGCAACAGCUCAAAUUUGAAAUCUGCCCCCCGGGCCGAGUUGUAGUUUGCAGAGGAUGCUUCCGGCGGAGCGCCGUCCGAGUGCCCUGGAACGGGUCGCCGGAGAGGGUGAGAGCCCCGUACGGGCGGCGCCGAGCCGACGCGAAGCUCCUUCGACGAGUCGGGUAGUUUGGGAAUGCUGCCCCAACGGGAGGUAAACGUCUUCCAAAGCUAAAUACCGGCCGGAGACCGAUAGCGCACAAGUAGAGUGAUCGAAAGAUGAAAAGCACUUUGAAAAGAGAGUCAAACAGCACGUGAAAUUGCUGAGGGGGAACCGCCCGCGGCCAGACUUGCGCCCCCCGGACCAGCCGGCACCUCGGUGCCGGGGCACUCCGCGGGGGGGCAGGCCAGCAUCGGCUCGGGGGGGGGGACGAGGGGAUCGGGCGUGGCGCCUCCGGGCGUGUCUGCCUGGUUCCGAUGCCCCUCCCCGGGCCGAGGACACCCCAGCGCCUUCGCAGGCAUGGAUGCUGGCGUAAUGGCCGCCGGCGACCCGUCUUGAAACACGGACCAAGGAGUCGAGCAUCGAGGCGAGUGUUAGGGUGGCAAGCCCGAGCGCGGAAUGAGAGUGAGCGGUGGGAGCCUCGGCGCACCACCGGCCGAUCCCGAGGUCCUCCGAGGGAUUCGAGCAGGAGCCCCGACGCCCGGACCCGAAAGAUGGUGAACUAUGCCUGUGUAGGGCGAAGCCAGAGGAAACUCUGGUGGAGGCCCGCAGCGGUUCUGACGUGCAAAUCGAUCGUCGAACAUGGGCAUGGGGGCGAAAGACUAAUCGAACCAUCUAGUAGCUGGU
rnacentral:rRNA from 1 species